rnacentral:rRNA from 1 species
AGUGAACGCUGGCGGUAGGCCUAACACAUGCAAGUCGAACGGCAGCACAGUAAGAGCUUGCUCUUACGGGUGGCGAGUGGCGGACGGGUGAGGAAUAAAUCGGAAUCUACUUUUUCGUGGGGGAUAACGUAGGGAAACUUACGCUAAUACCGCAUACGACCUACGGGUGAAAGCAGGGGAUCUUCGGACCUUUCGCGAUUGAAUGAGCCGAUGUCGGAUUAGCUAGUUGGCGGGGUAAAGGCCCACCAAGGCGACGAUCCGUAGCUGGACUGAGAGGAUGAUCAGCCACACUGGAGCGGAGACACGGUCCAGAGUCCUGCGGCAGGCAGCAGUGGGGAAUAUUGGACAAUGGGCGCAAGCCUGAUCCAGCCAUACCGAGUAGGUGAAGAAGGCCUUCGGGUUGUAAAGACCUUUUGUUGGGAAAGAAAAGCAGCAGGUUAAGACCCCGCUGUUCUGACGGUACCCAAAGAAUAAGCACCGGCUAACUUCGUG